GCCAGGGAGCAUGGCCAACUGGACAAGCUGGAGAUGUGAAGGCCCAGAAAAAUGGAGAGGGGUGGCAAUCAGACAAAUGGCCUGGAGAUUUAUUUCAUCUGAGACCUAACAUAUCUACUUAGGGCGAACUGGAAUUGCAAGUCCCAAAUUGUGGCUUGUGUUUUAAAGCAACCAGUUGGUGGGCAGGUUCACAGUUGAGCAACAGGAUGCAGAAAAUUGCUGGUUACUGUAAAGAUAUGAUCAUGUGAGUGGAGAGAAUGACAGGAGAGAGGAAAGAGGAAGGGGAAAGGGAAGAUGAGGAGGCAAUAUAUCAAGUAGAAUUCAGGGGUGCCCAAACUUUUUUCAAAGAGGGCCAGAUAUCUGAAGCAGACUUUGCACAUGCCUGAAGUGGGUAAUAACAUUAAUAGAGGCUAGGUACACCCUGAUAACAACCAAUUAAUCCUCAUUUGCAUAACCAACCUUUGAUCCCUGUUUCAAAGUAAAGAAAGCCAAUUUCUGUUGGUAAGCUUGGUUGGUUAGAGCCCAAUGCAGUUCAGGUAAGGUGGGUUUGAACAGUCUCCACCUCCACCCUCACCAAACUUGGGAAAAGGGGUGGUAUCCAUAAAUUUCUGCAUGGAGGGAUGAGUGAGCUAUUAAAUGGAUGAAAACUUGCAUUUCAAAUAUUGCAGAUGAGUGAAAACAGGGGACAUAAGCUGUCCACACUUUCUCUUGCCCCUCAUAAGUUUGAAAUAAUUUUGAAUGAUUUUCUGAACUGAAAAUCACUGUUACAAAAAAGAGAACAGGGGUGAAUUUAAUUUUCCCUCUUUAAUUUUUAGUUCAUAUUCCUCAAAUGUCCGCUGUCUUUGUUUAAAAAAUACAGUUUUGUGCCUUCCUUGGCUUUUGUUUUUUAAAAAGAUGCUGUUUAUUCACACACAAAAUGAGGUGCAUCUACUUAGAUAUUGAAAAUCCGCAUGAACUUGAUAUAAUCCUGGAUUGUUCCCAUCUUUGCUUGCAUAUUGCCAGUUUACAGAGGUGUGGAAGAUGAUAACAGUUAAAUGCCGGUCCUCUUGAUAUAGAAUCCCUGUGAGGUUGAGAGGGGUGUAACUACCAACUUAAGGCCCCAAGAGUAAAUUAUCUCUCUUACUCCUGUUCCAACUUAUCAGAGCUAAGAAAACAUAGAAGGACUUUCUGAAUCUCAUUCUCGAGAAUAUUCUCCAUCACUAGGUACAACCUCUUGACAAUUUCUGGUCAGCGGGUUUGUGUGUGAGAAACUAGAAGGGAUGGAAGGGGGUAUUCUGAAGUACUGUAAUAAUAUACUUCAAUAUUGUGUUGUAGGGCUUACACAUCUAGCUUUACGAAUCAUGUUUGGCUUCUUACAUCUAGUGCUAUUUUGGAAUAGUGGCUAAGAACACGAGCCAAUUGAAAUUUCAUUUUGGUCAUGAACUCACUAGGUGGCCUUAGGCUAAUGGUUUGUAAGUGGAUCUGGCAGGCGGGCCAACUGUCAAUCCGCCCACCCACCCACCCGUCAAUCACCUGAUAACAGGAUAUGUAAUGCUUUUUUAAAAAACAAAAAUAUUUUUGCUGUCUCUGUAUGUUGUCUGCUUCCUCAAAGCAUUUUUUUCAGAAGUUUGUGCAUAUUCCUCACACCUUUUGAUGUACAUUUACAAUGAAACUGCAUCCUAUACAUCUACAUAUAGGGUGAGUCCUUUAAAAGAGGCCCCAUGGAUACAGAGUACACAUGUUCCACGGCGCCUCUUUUAAAAGACUCACCCUGUACAGUGUGCACAUACACACAAAUGCAUGCACAUUUUCUAUAACUUUUGUGUGCAAUGAAAUCUAGGUCCUUAAAUGACCUGGGAAAAUUGCAUUGAGGUUCAGACUGCUGCCUCUUCCAUCCAUACACAUCCAUACAGAAAGAGUAGGAGAAAGAUCCUCUGGUGGUUUUCCCCUAGUGAUAGGACUUCCUUUCCUUAGAGGAAAUCCUUGAAGGAUUCCUCUCCCUUUUCCUGAACAUUGCUAAAAUGAGUAUGUGACCUUCUGUUUACACUUUCUCUUCAGUGUUACUGAUGCUGUGAGACAUUUUAGCAUGAUGACUUGUAGUAUAGUAAUUGUAGUAUAGUUAGCAGUCUUUUCAACAGGUUGGAGACUAAAUUGAUCAGCCAGAAUGCCACAUUAAUUAAUAUUCAUAUGAAUGUAAGAGUCAUGUCAGUUAUUUUCUUUCUUUCUUUUUUUUUUGUAUCUCUGCUGCUUUGGUUUUUUUUUUUUUAAAAUCCAGGGUUAUCUGUUUCAUAGAAUGACAUUCAACACUAUUGCUGGGUAGCAGUUUUACUUUCCAAUUCCUAAACAACCAUUGUCUCUUCUGCAUCUUAGGUGUGGAAACAAUUAUUUGUUUGCUCUGAUUAGCUGCUAUUUAAAAGCAUCGUUACUUCAGCACAUUGUGUAGCUGUUAAAUUUCCCAGAUCGCCAAGGAGCUAUAGAUCUCAGAAAGGCGUGUACUGUGCAAUACAACACAAUUUCUCCUGUCUGGCUCUCUCAUGAUGGAUUAUGACUGGUGAAUUAGAGGUCUGAUUUAUUGUGGGUCGGUGCAUCGUGGGCAAUGGUUUGUAGCGGCCAUGAUGUACCAGAAGCAGAGUUGAUAUAAUAUUUUAAAAUACUGUUUUUCUCCAACUGUCUCCUUCCUGAACAUCUCAUUUGUAUUCCUUCCACAGAGGUGACAUGAUUAUGUUGGGAUUGAAUCUGCCAGGAUCUUGUUUGGAGUGCUAAUCAUAUUUGCUGGUAUCUUUUCAUUAGCAUUUUAACCAUUACUUUACAUAAUUUACCUUCUAAACAGUGUUGAUUUUUUUUUUUAACAUGACAUUUGAUGGGCU